UCUUUAUAAAUUUUUAUUUAAAUUAAAAUUUUUAUUUAAAAAAAUUUUGUAAAUAAAAAUUUAUUUUAUUGGGGUGAUAAAAAAAUUUAAAAAACUUUUUUAUAAAUUAUACUUUAAUUAAAGUAAUGAAAUAUUAUUGAUCUAUUAUUAAUAAAAAAAAGAAUAAGA
rnacentral:rRNA from 1 species